rnacentral:rRNA from 1 species
GAUGAACGCUAGCGAUAGGCCUAACACAUGCAAGUCGAGGGGCAGCAUAAGGAAGUAGCAAUACUUUCUGGUGGCGACCGGCGCACGGGUGAGUAACACGUAUGCAACCUGCCUUCAACAAGGGGAUAACCCGUUGAAAGACGGACUAAUACCCUAUAACACAGGGGUCCCGCAUGGGAAUAUUUGUUAAAGGACAACCGGUUGAAGAUGGGCAUGCGUUCCAUUAGCUAGUUGGCGGGGUAACGGCCCACCAAGGCAACGAUGGAUAGGGGAACUGAGAGGUUUAUCCCCCACACUGGUACUGAGACACGGACCAGACUCCUACGGGAGGCAGCAGUGAGGAAUAUUGGUCAAUGGACGCAAGUCUGAACCAGCCACGUCGCGUGAAGG